rnacentral:tRNA from 1 species
CCUCCAAUGGUGUAGUCCGGCCAAUCAUGCCGGCCUUUCGAGCCGGCGACCUGGGUUCGAAUCCCGGUUGGAGGG